rnacentral:rRNA from 1 species
AACGAACGCUGGCGGCAGGCUUAACACAUGCAAGUCGAGCGCCCCGCAAGGGGAGCGGCAGACGGGUGAGUAACGCGUGGGAAUCUACCCAUCUCUACGGAAUAACGCAUGGAAACGUGUGCUAAUACCGUAUACGUCCUUCGGGAGAAAGAUUUAUCGGAGAUGGAUGAGCCCGCGUUGGAUUAGCUAGUUGGUGGGGUAAAGGCCUACCAAGGCGACGAUCCAUAGCUGGUCUGAGAGGAUGAUCAGCCACACUGGGACUGAGACACGGCCCAG